rnacentral:rRNA from 1 species
UACGUAGGGUGCGAGCGUUGUCCGGAAUUAUUGGGCGUAAAGGGCUCGUAGGCGGUCUGUCACGUCGGGAGUGAAAACCCGGGGCUCAACUCCGGGCCUGCAUUCGAUACGGGCAGACUAGAGUUCGGUAGGGGAGACUGGAAUUCCUGGUGUAGCGGUGAAAUGCGCAGAUAUCAGGAGGAACACCGGUGGCGAAGGCGGGUCUCUGGGCCGAUACUGACGCUGAGGAGCGAAAGCGUGGGGAGCGAACAGG